rnacentral:rRNA from 1 species
UACGUAGGGUGCGAGCGUUAAUCGGAAUUACUGGGCGUAAAGCGUGCGCAGGCGGUUUUGUAAGUCAGAUGUGAAAUCCCCGGGCUUAACCUGGGAACUGCGUUUGAAACUACAAGGCUAGAGUGUGGCAGAGGGGGGGUGGAAUUCCACGUGUAGCAGUGAAACUGCGUAGAGAUGUGGAGGAACACCGAUGGCGAAGGCAGCCCCCUGGGUUAACACUGACGCUCAGGCACGAAAGCGUGGGGAGCAAACAGG